UAUUCAUAGAUUCCAGACAUUGUAUAGAAGAACAUUGUGAAACUCCCUGUCCUGUUCUGUUUCUCUCUGACCACCGGUACAUGCAGCCCCUGUCAUGUACCGCCUGCUUGCUCAAAUCAAUCACGACCCUUUCAUGUGAAAUCUUUAGUGUUAUGAGCCCUUAAAAGGGACAGAAAUUGUGCAUUCGGGGAGCUUGGAUUUUAAGGCAGUACCUUGCCAAUGCUCCCAGCUGAAUAAAGCCCUUCCUUCUACAACUAGGUGUCUGAGAGGUUUUGUCUGCGACUCGUCCUGCUACAUUUCUUGGUUCCCUGACCAGGAAGCGAGGUGACUGACGGACGGCCGAGGCAGCCCCUUAGGUGGCUUAAGCCUGCCCUGUGGAGCAUCCCUGAGGGGGACUCUGGCCAGCCUGAGUGAUGUGGUCCGAAGAGCGCUUGGGUAGGAAAUUGCCCCUGUGGAAUGCCUCGUCAGAGCAGCGCAUAGCAGGCCCCCACGGAGGAUUAACACAGUGGCUGAACACUGGGAAGGAACUGGCCCUUGGAGUCCAGACAUCUGAAACUUGAUGCAGAAAGCAAUAUUUAACUGAUCAGCUGCCACUCACAUCAUGAAUCAGAAGCAGCCUUAAAAGAAAGGAUCCCUUCUUGCUAUUUUGAAGGGAAAUAACUGAGUCCUUUGGAGCUGAAAAUGAAAAACUGAGUAGCUGGUGGAAGAAGCGAGAUGGGUUUGGAACUCACAGGCUAUGUUUCUGGAUGCAUCACAUUUGCAAGAGGGAAGUUUUGGUGUCCCUGUGGGUAUAUUAGCACUCCUUUACUCCAUUUCUCUGUAGCUACUCAAGCAAGUGACAAGUAAGUAUGUUGAGACCACAUGUGACAUAUAAAUUACAAGUUCUCCUGCCCCUCUAAAAGUUUAUUCAGCAUCAACCUUUGCACCAACACACUAAGGCAUAAUAGCUGAUAAUUUAUGAGUGUAAUUUGAAGGAAGCAAUUCUGUUUUGUGAUUAUGGUAGUAAAUAAAAGAUUCAAAUCCUCAUUGACACACCAUGAAAUUCAGCUUUACUUUUUUUUUUUUAACCUUGAUAUUGUUUAUGGAAAGAAGGCUGCAGAGUCCAAGAAAGGUGACAGAUAUGAAGAAAUGCAGUGGUUGCAAAGGACAAAGACAAUGGCAACACAAAUAAAAGAAAUUAUGAGAAGGAAAUAAAUAUUAAAAAAAAAACCCAAACGUUUGUUGAUGUAAACUGAAAAUAAAUUUGGAAUGAGCUGUGUGCACUUGGAAAUGAGAAGCUCUGUCCUGCACCAUGAAGGGCUUUGUGUGCAUCCAUGGGUUGCUUCUGCAUGCAGAAUGAGACUGGAACAAAAAAGAACCAUUUAAAACACAGGAUCCAGGGAAUUUUCAGAACCUUGCCAUGUGGGUCUCUCCAUAUGGCUGCUUAAGCAUCCUCAUGACACGUCAGCUGGUCUCCCCAGUGGGAGUGAUCGAAGAGACAGAAGCAAGAAUGUCUUCAAUGACCUACCCUUGUAAGUCACAUACCUCACUUUCACCUAAUCCUCAAAAGGAGAGAGUUAGACUCCACCUUUUGGAGGCAAGAAUGUCAAAGAAUUUGUGGACAUAUUUCAAAACCAUCACUGGAUCAUAUAUGUGAAAAUAAACACUUACAAAAAAUAAAGUGCUAUAAAUGGGAUACAUUCAGAUAAGGAACCCUUCUUUCAAUGCCAUCCCAGAAUUCCCUCAGCUUAAUUCUCCCAGAAGCUUCAAGACCUUCUAAAAUUGUUUGGGCUUGGUCUUUAUAGUCUGGAGGCACCAAAAGCCUGAGAUUUGUAUAGAUUAAGGAAGAAUCAGAAUCUAAGAGACAUUAAAUGACUAGCCAAAGAUCACACUGCUAGUUGGUGGAAGUCCGAGGAGUUUGUCCUAAGUGUGCCUAACUUCAAAUCCCCUCAUCUUAAUCAUUGUGUCACAUCAUGUCAUAAAAAUGGAUGAAAGAAGAAAGAAGACACAAACACCCAGUAUUAUUUUAGGACAAUUUCAUGGCAUUAAGUGUGGAUUUUCGUUUUAGCUAACAUUUUCAUGAAGGAAAAUCUUUGAGGAUGU
rnacentral:lncRNA from 1 species